GAAUAUAAAACCCCCUCCUAUUAAUAGCAGUGUCAUUAAAUAGGAGGUAGUAACGAUACUUAGGGAGCUAAAUUUAGGGGGAGAAAAAUGAUACAUAAUUAGUCAUGUCUAUUCUUUCUUUGUAAACGGUACUUCAGCGUGUUGAAAGAUGCUUUAAAUCAGUCUUACAGAAAAAGCCUUGCUUCUAGGGAGAGCUGUGCGUGUCCAGCGGACACCCCUUGCACCCAUCUUGUCUUUCUAGAUCUCAGAGCUCCUGCAGGAUUCUGCUGGCAGUAGGUCACCACCAGACACCCCUGUGCUGUCAGGGAACUUUAAAGGAGCUGCAUCUUUCUCCUGAAGAAGAGACCCCCUGAGGGCAGGGGCACCCAUCCACUGGGCCACCGCUCAGUGAAGAAGGCUUCUCACCGGAGUCUGCCUAAACCUGGAGCUCAGGUUUCCUGUCUCUGCCUCACUUCUCUUCCUGAUCCGCCUUUCUUCCCGUUUUCUUCCCGCCUUUCUCCCUGUUUUCUUCCUGACUUCUGUGGCCACUGGAAGGCGAGAUCACAAGGUUGGUCAGGUGUGCAGACAAAAUUAAGGGCCUCAGAGUCCAAGUAUGAACCAUGUAAUUAAUUACUUUUAAAACUGCCCAGGUGCUGGAGCAAGGGAUGGGCCCCGUGACUAAGCGCACCCCCCCCAGCUGACACCCCCAGAGAGCCAGGUUGCGUCCAGCACACCUCCUGCAGGCGUUUGCAGAGUGAACGGUGGAUAGGAGCUCUGACUCUGAAAUAAAUUAAAAAAUGUUAAUAUGCAAGGCAAAUAUUUAUCUAAAAUAAGAACAACAACCUCAUUGCGAUUUCCAAUAGAAGCUGCAAGGCCGAGAGCCAGGCCGGCUGUCCUCUGCCUCCUCCCCCCACGGCUCUGCUCCUUCCCCUCCCUCCCGGCUCCGGCCAAGAAUCGGAGCAGAGCUCGCGCGACCCCUCCCGCCCCGCCGAGGCGCCUCCCCCUUGCCGUCCCAGUCCGGCUCCGAGAGCCCCGGGCGGCCCCGCUGCCUUCCCACGGGAGCCGAGUGGAGAGGCGGCCGCGGACCAGAAUUCCUGGUAACCUCACUCUACGGGAUAAAUUUGUGCUCUUUUGGCUGUCUUUUGAGGCAGUCAGAACAUCCAUCUUGUGAUGUGAGUGAAAUGAAAUCCUUAAUACAUGUUGAUUUUUAUAUCUGCAGGACAGUCUUUUACUUUUUUGUUGUUGUUGUUGUUGAGAGGCAGAACACUAUGGAGACAGCUCAGAUCUGCUGGUUCACUCCCCAAAUGCCUGCUAUUCUUUCAGGAGUCUGCAGUGUUUUUAUUUUGUUUGUUUUUUGUAUUUUUUUUUUUGACAGGCAGAGUUAGACAGUGAGAGAGAGAGACAGAGUGAAAGGUCUUCCUUUUCUGUUGGUUCACCCCCCAAAUGGCCGCCACGGAACAGCGCGCUGCAUCGAUCUGAAGCCAGGAGCUUCUCCUGGUCUCCCAUGUGGGUUCAGGGCCCAAGGACUUGGGCCAUCCUCCACUGCCUUCCCGGGCCACAGCAGAGAGCUGGACUGGAAGAGGAGCAACUGGGACAGAAUCUGGCCCCCCAACUGGGACUAGAACCUGGGGUGCCAGCACCGCAGGCGGAGGAUUAGCCUAUUGAGCUGCGGUGCCAGCAUGCUGAUGUCCUUUUAAUCAAGAUCUUCUGCACUGUUGUAACUGACCUAGGUAAUGAGAAUUUUAUGUAUCUUUAUUGAGUCACGAUUGGAGACUUAACCUUUACCCAAUUAACCAAUCAAAACCAUCACUUCUCCAGGGCCCAUCAGAGAACAUCCCCUCUUGCAGCCCAUAAAAACCACGAGGCAAUCAGCCCUCAACAGCUCCUCCUCCAGGGACCCUCGAGGUGCUGCCGGCAGCUCUUGCUUUUGCUUCCUCUGUUUUUUGUUUUGUUUUGCAGUGAACUACUUCUGCUUUCCACACUCUUCCUUGUCUGCACUCCUAAUUCUUCAUGAUCACAGGACACGAAUGCUAGUGAUUAGAACUGCAGACUCCUGCCAGUGCCACGGCUCACUUGGCUAAUCCAUCGCCUGCGGCGCCGGCACCCUGGGUUCUAGUCCCAGUUGGGGCGCCGGAUUCUGUCCCAGUUGCUCCUCUUCCAGUCCAGCUCUC
rnacentral:lncRNA from 1 species